GAUGAAGAACGCAGCGAAAUGCGAUACUUGGUGUGAAUUGCAGAAUCCCGUGAACCAUCGAGUCUUUGAACGCAAGUUGCGCCCGAAGCCAUUAGGCCGAGGGCACGCCUGCCUGGGCGUCACACGUCGUUGCCCCCCCAUCUACUCCUUCGGGAUUGCGGGGGCGGAUGAUGGCCUCCCGUGCGCCUCGUCGCGCGGUUGGCAUAAAUGCCAAGUCCUCGGCGACGCACGCCACGACAAUCGGUGGUUGCGAAACCUCGGUUGCCCGUCGUGUGCGGUCGUCGCGCAUCGAGGGCUCGAAAAAAUUGCCGGGCUCCGGCUCGGCUUUCAACGCGACCCCAGGUCAGGCGGGGUUACCCGCUGAAUUUAAGCAUAUCAAUAAGCGGAGGA
rnacentral:misc_RNA from 1 species